rnacentral:sRNA from 2 species
CCGCCCGUCAAACCAUGGGAGCUGGUAAUGCCCGAAGUCGGUUUAUAAAGAAACUGCCUAAGGCAGGACUGGUGACUGGGGUUAAGUCGUAACAAGGUAUCCCUACGAGAACGUGGGGAUGGAUUACCUCCUUUCUACGGAGUACAAAAGACUAAUUAGAAAAUUAAUUAGUAUCUAACCUACUUAAAAAAUCAGACCUGUUAUUACAAUAUAUAUUUAUGUCAUGUGGCUUUUUACAAGGUCGAAGUCUUAUAUCUAGUUUUGAGAGAAUAUCUCUCAUUUGUUCUUUGAAAACUGAAUAGUAAAUUUUUUGAUAUUUACAACGACAUCUAAAUAAAUUAAUUUGGUUAAUUUGUUUUGAUUCAUCGAGUAAUCAUUUAAAUAUGAUUCAUUGAAAUGUCUUAAAAUACACAUCUGUAACAAUCAAUAGGAAAAUACAAAUAUACUUUUAAAUAAGUAAGAGUUUGUGGUGGAUGCCUUGGGUCUGAAAGUCGAUGAAGGACGUGAUUACCUGCGAUAAGCCUCGUGGAGCUGGAAAUGCGCAUUGAAACGGGGAUUUCCGAAUGGGGAAACCUAGCUAGAGUAAUGUCUAGUUGCUUAUUUCUGAAUACAUAGGAAAUAAUGUGAGACACCAUGUGAACUGAAACAUCUUAGUAGCAUGAGGAAAAGAAAAUAAAUAAUGAUUUCUUCAGUAGCGGCGAGCGAACGAGAAAGAGCCCAAACCACAUUUAGUGGGGUUGUAGGACAGUCUACAUAGAGUUACAAAAUUUAAUGAUAGCAGAAGCUUUUGGGAAAAAGCGGCACAGAAGGUGAUACCCCUGUACGCGAAAUCAUUAAAUCUCUUGACUGUAUCCUGAGUAGGGCGGGGCACGUGAAACCCUGUCUGAAUCUGCCGGGACCACCCGGUAAGGCUAAAUACUAAUCAGACACCGAUAGUGAACUA